rnacentral:rRNA from 1 species
AUGGGGUGCAGCAGGGGCGAAAACUUUACAAUGCGGGAAACCGUGAUAAGGGGACCUCGAGUGCCAGCAUAUUAUGUUGGCUGUCCAGAUGCCUAAAUAGCAUUUGAUAGCAAGGGCCGGGCAAGACCGGUGCCAGCCGCCGCGGUAACACCGGCGGCCCGAGUGGUAACCGUUAUUAUUGGGUCUAAAGGGUCCGUAGCCGGCCAAGUAAGUCCCUUGGGAAAUCUGGCAGCUUAACUGUCAGGCUGCCAGGGGAUACUGCUUGGCUUGGGACCGGGAGAGGUGAGAGGUACCUCAGGGGUAGGGGUGAAAUCUUGUAAUCCUUGAGGGACCACCAGUGGCGAAGGCGUCUCACCAGAACGGGUCCGACGGCAAGGGACGAAAGCUAGGGGCACGAACCGGAUUAGAUACCCGGGUAGUCCUAGCCGUAAACGAUACUCGCUAGGUGUCAGCCACGGUGCGACCGUGGUUGGUGCCGUAGGGAAGCCGUGAAGCGAGCCACCUGGGAAGUACGGCCGCAAGGCUGAAACUUAAAGGAAUUGGCGGGGGAGCAC